rnacentral:rRNA from 1 species
GAUGAACGCUGGCGGCGUGCCUAAUACAUGCAAGUCGAACGAACAGAUGAUGAUCUUGCUCCUCGGACGUUAGCGGCGCACGUGUGAAUAACGCGUGUAUAACCUACCUGUAAUACUGGUAUAACUUCGGGAAACCGGAGCUAAUCCCGGAGAAUAUAUUGCACCACGUUGGGGGAUGGUAAAAUACGGUGUUGGUGGCACUUAUAGAUGGAUCCGCGCCGCAUUAGGUAGUUGGUAAGGUAACGGGUUUCCAAGGGAACCAUGCGUAUACGACCUGAGAGGGUGAUCGGCCACCUUGGAGGUGAGCCGCGGACCAGACUACUACGGUAGGCAGCAGUAGGGAACCUUAGGCAGUGGUCGAAAGCAUGACGGAGCAACCCGGCGUGUGUUGUGACGGUCUUCGGAUCGGAAAACCCUCUUAUUAGUGAAGAACCAAUGUGUAAGUAACCAUGCCCGGCUUGACGGUAACUAAUAAGAAAGCACCGGCUAACUACGUG